GAUGAACGCUAGCGGCAGGCUUAAUACAUGCAAGUCAAACGGGUGUAGCAAUACAUCAGUGGCGCACGGGUGCGUAACGCGUACACAACAUACCUUAUACAGGGGGAUAACUUUUCGAAAGAGAAGCUAAUACCGCAUAACAUUAUUAGAUGGCAUCAUUUGAUAAUUAAAGCUCCGGCGGUAUAAGAUUGGUGUGCGUACUAUUAGCUAGUUGGUAAGGUAACGGCUUACCAAGGCUACGAUAGUUAGGGGACGUGAGAGCGUGGUCCCCCACACUGGCACUGAGACACGGGCCAGACUCCUACGGGAGGCAGCAGUAAGGAAUAUUGGUCAAUGGUGGCAACACUGAACCAGCCAUGCCGCGUGAAGGAUGAAGGCGCUCUGCGUUGUAAACUUCUUUUAAGUGGGAAGAAAAACUCAUAUUCAUAUGAGCCUGACGGUACCACUGGAAUAAGCACCGGCUAACUCCGUG
rnacentral:rRNA from 1 species